rnacentral:rRNA from 1 species
UGGCGGACGGGUGAGUAAUGUCUGGGAAACUGCCUGAUGGAGGGGGAUAACUACUGGAAACGGUAGCUAAUACCGCAUAACGUCGCAAGACCAAAGAGGGGGACCUUCGGGCCUCUUGCCAUCGGAUGUGCCCAGAUGGGAUUAGCUUGUUGGUGGGGUAACGGCUCACCAAGGCGACGAUCCCUAGCUGGUCUGAGAGGAUGACCAGCCACACUGGAACUGAGACACGGUCCAAACUCCUACGGGAGGCAGCAUG